rnacentral:rRNA from 1 species
CGUGGAUAACCUACCUAUAAGACUGGGAUAACUUCGGGAAACCGGAGCUAAUACCGGAUAAUAUAUUGAACCGCAUGGUUCAAUAGUGAAAGACGGUUUUGCUGUCACUUAUAGAUGGAUCCGCGCUGCAUUAGCUAGUUGGUAAGGUAACGGCUUACCAAGGCAACGAUGCGUAGCCGACCUGAGAGGGUGAUCGGCCACACUGGAACUGAGACACGGUCCAGACUCCUACGGGAGGCAGCAGCA